AUUUGCAGAGGAUGCUUGCGGGUACGGCUCCGGAGUAGUUCCUUGGAACAGGACGUCACAGAGGGUGAGAAUCCCGUAUGUGACCGGCCGCCACGCCCGUGUGAAGCUCCUUCGACGAGUCGAGUUGUUUGGGAAUGCAGCUCAAAAUGGGUGGUAAAUUUCAUCUAAAGCUAAAUAUUGGCCAGAGACCGAUAGCGCACAAGUAGAGUGAUCGAAAGAUGAAAAGCACUUUGGAAAGAGAGUCAAACAGUACGUGAAAUUGUUGAAAGGGAAGCGCUUGCAACCAGACUUGCCCGCGGGUGAUCAGCCGGUAUUCUUACCGGUGCACUCGCCCGUGGUCAGGCCAGCAUCGGUUCGGGCGGCUGGAUAAAGUCCACUGGAAUGUAGCUCCCUUCGGGGAGUGUUAUAGCCAUUGGUGCCAUGCAGCCCGCCCGGACCGAGGACCGCGCUUCGGCUAGGAUGCUGGCGUAAUGGUUGCAAGCGACCCGUCUUGAAACACGGACCAAGGAGUCUAACAUCUAUGCGAGUGUUUGGGUGUCAAACCCAUGCGCGUAAUGAAAGUGAACGGAGGUGGGAACCCUUAAGGGUGCACCAUCGACCGAUCCUGAUGUCUUCGGAUGGAUUUGAGUAAGAGCAUAGCUGUUGGGACCCGAAAGAUGGUGAACUAUGCCUGAAUAGGGUGAAGCCAGAGGAAACUCUGGUGGAGGCUCGC
rnacentral:rRNA from 1 species